UACGUAGGGUGCAAGCGUUGUCCGGAAUUAUUGGGCGUAAAGAGCUCGUAGGCGGUCUGUCGCGUCUGCUGUGAAAACCUAGGGCUUAACUCUGGGCGUGCAGUGGGUACGGGCAGGCUAGAGUGCGGUAGGGGGAGACUGGAAUUCCUGGUGUAGCGGUGAAAUGCGCAGAUAUCAGGAGGAACACCGGUGGCGAAGGCGGGUCUCUGGGCCGAUAUUGACGCUGAGGAGCGAAAGCGUGGGGAGCGAACAGG
rnacentral:rRNA from 1 species